UUCAAACGUGAUAGUUGGGUCUCAAAAACAUUGUGUUCUAAGUGCUUUUAUUUGGGAUAGAAAGGUCAUUGGGAUGUCAAGCAAGGAAUAAACUAAUUUUUUUUCUUGGUUAAAUCGAUCAAGGGUUGGCAUUUGAGCUUUGUAGUUUUUUUAUUUGGACAUGAAAAUAUGAUCUAUGCUUUUUUGCUUGACAGUGUUUUGAUUUGGGAGGCAAGGGGACGAAUCUGGGUAGUUGGUACGUCAGAUAAUGUGGAGAGAGAUUCCUCCUGAGAUCGAAAGAUGGGCAGCUUGGAAGGGAGUAGUUUAGAGAAAAGUAUAGGAACAUUGCAACAACAUUGGUCGCUGCUGUAAGUGAAUCUCAUUUCCCAUAUCUACAUGCUCAAUUCUUCUUGCUAUGAUCUUUUUUAUCAAACUUUGAAUGAUUUUAAUUGGUAUAUACUUUCUUUUACGGUAUUGACUGGGUUGGUAAAGCUGGUGGAAAAGCACCCUUCCAGGCCAAGGUAGAGAAGAGGAAGGUUGAAUACAACAAGAAUAUGGAUGUUUACAACUGGUAAAGUACAGGAACAUGUUAUGGCAGAGAACAUGUUUACAGCAACAUGUAAACAACAACGCAUUGUUUCCCUCUCAGGUCAUAAUAAUUCAACCAGGACUGGCUUGACAGUAUGAAAAGGUGUGGUCCUUGGAAUGUCAUAGCUCCAAACUAUGAAGAAUUGUCAAGCUUGGAACAUCAUAGCAUCAUAGCUUCAAAAUCUGCAGUUGGAAUGCGUUCAAGCCACAUCUAGCCAUCAAGUUGAAGUUGCUUUUCUGAAGGAACAAUUACUUUUUCAUCAGCUACAUGUAUUCAAGCCAACAUCCAUCAAAAACUUCCCACACACCAAGUUUGAUUUAAACUUAUUGAUUCUGGUCGACAAAAUUUGGUUGAAGUCCCAAAUUUCUCC